GCCAGAAACAGCAACCCUUCUGGGUCCCCUUCCACCACGCAGAAGCUUUACUUUCGCUUUCACUUUACUUUUGCUUUCACUUUAACAAAUCUUGCAGCCGCACACUCUUUGGGUCCGCCCGUUUCUCUAAUCAAGUUGUAACACUCGCUGCUGUGGUCCACAGCUUCAUUCCUUGAAGCCCGUGAGACACGAACGCUUCCAUUGAGAAAAACCUUCCAUCAGAAGAAGACUUCUCGUCUCAGUGGGACUGCUGAGUUGAAUGGUGCUUUUUUUUCUGAAGCUUUGGUAGUGUAACUGUAAGAGUCCUGGAAUUGGAAAAGCAAAUCCAGAAGUUGAGUUCCAUGACUUUUUUGCUGUUUGCCUUUGGACUUGCAUCAUUUAUAUUUUUAAUUCAUCGAGGAUGAGAAAAUUGAUUAACACAAAAUCUUUUCAUGUCUUUUCUGAUGAGAGACUAGCUGAAUCCAAGAAGAGAAGCCCUUGAAGAGUGUAUUCUAUUCUAGACAAGCAUUCACACAUUGGCUUCUUUGGUGCCAGGUAAUUAGAAUUUGUAAUUUGGUCUUAAUUAAACUGCAGACUACCCAAAGGCCUUGAUCAGUGGCCUUUUGACUGCCUCCACCGUUUGGAGGAAACAAACAAAACACAAAUUAGCCUUUAAAAAUAUGCCCAUUGAUUUCUCCUCAUCUCCCCAAACAUAUACAACCCCACCAGAUAUAUAUUUAUAUUGGCUAUAAAAAUAUGCCCAUUGAUUUCUCCUCAUCUCCCCAAACAUAUACAACCCCACCAGAUAUAUAUUUAUAUUGGGUAUAAUGUCAACAUAUAUCAAAUGUGCCAAUUAAACACAGAGCUCCUCUAAACUACCAAGCAUGUUAUUAUUAUUAUUUUAAUUUUUAAAACAUUUCUAACUUAACAGAAACAUUGGCCGGGCAGCACUAAUUGUAUCAUUCCUAUGUACUACCAACUUCUCACCAGUAUUGAACUUGAUCUUCAAAACUCUUCCCAGAUAGGGCUAUUUUUCCACUGACUCUAUUGUUAUUCCUUCCCAUUUUCCCUCCUCUGUUUUUGAUGCUUUUUAUUUUGGUUAGCAUGUUUCUGAUCAGCAUGAAAACUGCGCAGGAGCUUUUCUGUCUUGCAGAGCUAGUUAAUGAGAUUGUUGCUGCCUUCAGAUUCUAUAAAGGACUUCUCCAAUAUUGGAUUAAAGAAUGAAGAAAGGAUCAAAUUGAGACAUCCAGGGGGGAAGAGUUCCCUGGCAAAACUCCAAUCUGCCUGAGCACUGAGGUGGAGCCACAGAAGUCCGGGUCAUUUGCACCUGGGAGGAGCCUGGCCCCUCCUCUUCCUGUGUGGAAUCUGGGAUUUAAUCUGUGAGGAGGGAAGGCCAAGGGCAGGAAGCACAGGCUCUCACUUCACUAAGAGUCUCUGUUUCCCCUUUUUUUCCUUUAUGCCUAAUUAAUAAAUCCCAUUUUUCUCACUCUUCAAAUAGUCUUCAAGCCUAAAUUUUCAUGACCAUGGAACAAGGACCCCAUCUUUAGCUGAACUAAGGAAAAGUCCUGCAACAAAAUUCUUUGCUAAAAAUACAUGAGGUUGCCUUUUCCUUCUUAAUCUUAAAAGAAAUAUAUUUCAAUGGUUAACGUUUUAGUAAUUCAAAAAUUAUCAAGCAUUUGUUCACAACCAUAAGAUGUGCAUUGUUUUAUAUUCCUACUUAAUAAUAGACUAUAAUUGUCUAAUUAGACUGCCGAUGUUGAUCUUUGUGGCUCAUUGCAUUGAUUAUAAGCAGUGUUUUGGGUUUGUGUGUGUGUGUCAAAUUUAGGGUUUUUUUGGUAUGGCUGCUGGUUGGUGUAGCCUGUAUCCAGUAUCCUGUAUUAAUUCUAAUAUUUGCAUUUUGAACAUAUUUACAAGUUGCUAAAAUAGCAAAGCUUCGAGAUGAGCCUGGCUGAUAUGGCAAAACCCCGUCUCUACUAAAAAUACAAAAAUUAGCCUGGUGUGGUGGUGCAUGCCUGUAAUCCCAGCUACUUGGAAGUCUGAGGCAGGAGAAUCUCUUGAACCCAGAAGGUGGAGGUUGCAGUGGGCCAAGAUCGCACCACUGCACUCCAGCCUCGGUGAUAGAGCGAGACUACGUCUCAAAAAUAAAAUAAAAUAAAAUAAAAUAAAAAUAGCAAAGCUAUGUAUGGUUUCUCUGAGUUUUGUAAUUUAUCAUUGUUAACUGCAGAAAUUUAUUAUAUGAGACAUAUUAUAUGAGACAUAUAAGUGAAUUUGGAUUGGGUUUAAUUUUAUAUUUUUGAAUAUAGUUCUUCAAGAUAAAUUUUAUCUUAGACCUCAAGAAAUAAAAAUAAAAUAAAUUAGAUAUACAAACGA
rnacentral:lncRNA from 1 species